rnacentral:lncRNA from 1 species
GCGGAGCCCAAAGUCGCUGGAGUUUUGCUCCCGGGACGGGACGUCCGAGAGGUGAGAGGCUGACGUUGGGGUGACGCGCCAACUUAAUCACACCUGACGUCACGUCUGGUCGUCUUGGCUCACCGGUCGCGAUUGGCCAGGCUCGUUUGGGGGAUCCCCUGCUAAUUGGGUGCCCAGGUUGCCUGGUCCUGUUACCUGGAGUCGGAGCUCCGCCCCUUGGGGGGAGAGUAGUGGAGAGUCGGGAGUGUGGGGGGAAUAUUUCCUGCGCUGGUGGUCCUUGGAGAAGAGGAUCCCCACCCAAAAUAAGUGGCCAAGUAAGCCUAUGAGAAUUGUUUCUAGAAUGCAGCAGACCAUGAGCUUGGCAGUUCCAAGUGCACUGAAGCAAUGAGAGGUAAGAUGAAGCUUGGGGGCAAAAACAACACUGGUCAUUAGACGGAAAUACAACAUUCCUUGUCCUAGUGUCCUCCGAUCAUUCUGAAGUGUGCCUUGCAUGACAAAGGUCAAAUGCAAAUUUUGGGAAAUCAUUUUACUUAAAGGAGCUAUGAUGAAAAAUAAGAAUGCAAUACAUCCACUAUAUCUCCAGGAUUUAGUGUAGAAAUUGAUAAAUAUUAAUUGAUAAUGAUGAAGUAAGAUGUUUUUCAUCAUCAAGUUUAGAGGACUUGCUAAUUGCUUUAUCUGUGCAUCAGAGAGCUUUAACUUCACUCAUAAAC